rnacentral:rRNA from 1 species
GGACGGGUGAGUAACGCGUGAGGAACCUGCCUUUCAGAGGGGGACAACAGUUGGAAACGACUGCUAAUACCGCAUAACAUAUAGAUGUCGCAUGGCAUUUAUAUCAAAGAUUUAUCGCUGAGAGAUGGCCUCGCGUCUGAUUAGCUAGUUGGUGAGGUAACGGCCCACCAAGGCGACGAUCAGUAGCCGGACUGAGAGGUUGAACGGCCACAUUGGGACUGAGAUACGGCCCAGACUCCUACGGGAGGCAGCAGUGGGGAAUAUUGGGCAAUGGGCGCAAGCCUGACCCAGCAACGCCGCGUGAAGGAAGAAGGCUUUCGGGUUGUAAACUUCUUUUGUCAGGGACGAGUAGAAGACGGUACCUGACGAAUAA